rnacentral:rRNA from 1 species
CGAAUGGGGAGAUUCAUCGUCAACAACGCUGGCUCCCGGUGGUGCGCGAUGCCCCGGAUGGACCUUCGGGUUUCAUUAGCGAGGGCACACCAUCAUCGGCGAACGUUCCGGCGAAGUAGUCGUGCACUUCUCCCCUAGUAGAACGUCGCGACCCGUUGCGUGUCGGUCUACGGUCCGAGGCGGAGCCUGUCCGUCGCGUCUGACGCGUUCGUGACAGACCCUCGGUUGCCUGGUCGACUGCGCGACGGUACUCAAACGGUAUCGGGCCGCAACCAAUCCAUUGUUAAAAUGUGUGUGCGUCAGGACCGCCGCAAGCUCGGUUCAGUAUACCCCCGGAUGUACGGACUAUGCGCCGUCCCCGGGCCUGACCAGCUGUUAGCAGGCGGAGUCCUUGGACUGGCCAAGCUUCGAAUUACCGGUCGGCGACGCUAUUGCUUUGGGUACUCUCAGGACCCGUCUUGAAACACGGACCAAGGAGUCUAACAUGUGCGCGAGUCAUUGGGAUAUAUAAACCUAAAGGCGAAAUGAAAGUGAAAGUCGUCCUUUGCGUCGACCUAGGGAGGAUGGGCCUCGUUACGAUUAGGCCUCGCACUCCCGGGGCGUCUCGUUCUCAUUGCGAGAAGAGGCGCACCCAGAGCGUACACGUUGGGACCCGAAAGAUGGUGAACUAUGCCUGGUCAGGACGAAGUCAGGGGAAACCCUGAUGGAGGUCCGUAGCGAUUCUGACGUGCAAAUCGAUCGUCGGAACUGGGUAUAGGGGCGAAAGACUAAUCGAACCAUCUAGUAGCUGGUUCCCUCCGAAGUUUCCCUCAGGAUAGCUGGCACUCGCUCUGUUUGUGCGAGUCUCAUCUGGUAAAGCGAAUGAUUAGAGGCCUUGGGGCCGAAACGACCUCAACCUAUUCUCAAACUUUAAAUGGGUGAGAUCUCUGGCUUGCUUGGAUUUCAAAUGAAGCCAUGAGAUUUUUGGAUCAGAGUGCCAAGUGGGCCAAUUUUGGUAAGCAGAACUGGCGCUGUGGGAUGAACCAAACGCAGAGUUAAGGCGCCUAAGUCGACGCUUAUGGGAUACCAUGAAAGGCGUUGGU